AAUACAAUACUAACAAGAGCUUGUGACCCUGAAGAAAUAAAUCCAUUAAUGGUAGAGUUAAGUGAACUUUAACUUGAAUUUGAAUUCAAGAGUGUGCAAAAAGCUGAGGUACAAACCAAAAUCAGCUGCAGUAACCGGAGUUCUGUCGGAUUUUGUCCAUACUUCGGAUUGCAACAGAGUCUUCUGUACUCCCUGCCUCAUUCAUUUAAAUACAGCUAGAGAAACGGCUUUCUUUGCAGCGGCUAGCUCUUUCUCAUUAUUACGUCUAAAACGGAGAUUGGUGCCAACCAAACCGUCUUCCACGCAAUGACAUAACAAGUUGACGUUUAAAGAAACUUAGAAGAUAGAAUAUGUAGUAUGAAAGGUUUUUCUGUAUGGGGUCAUCAUAUAUUUUAAUAAAACUCCUUAACAAGACAAGAGUUAUCAGUAAUCGUUAAACACUAAUCAAAGCGGCUAUAUUUCAACUAGUCUUCUCCCUA